rnacentral:rRNA from 1 species
GACGAACGCUGGCGGCGUGCUUAACACAUGCAAGUCGAACGGAAAGGCCCUGCUUUUGUGGGGUGCUCGAGUGGCGAACGGGUGAGUAACACGUGAGUAACCUGCCCUUGACUUUGGGAUAACUUCAGGAAACUGGGGCUAAUACCGGAUAGGAGCUCCUGCUGCAUGGUGGGGGUUGGAAAGUUUCGGCGGUUGGGGCUGGACUCGCGGCUUAUGAGCUUGUUGGUGGGGUAGUGGCUUACCAAGGCUUUGACGGGUAGCCUGCCUGAGAGGGGGACCGGCCACAUUGGGACUGAGAUACGGACCAGACUGCUACGGGAGGCAGCAGUGGGGAAUAUUGCACAAUGGGCGGAAGCGUGAUGCAGCAACGCCGCGUGCGGGAUGACGGCCUUCGGGUUGUAAACCGCUUUCGCCUGUGACGAAGCGUGAGUGACGGUAAUGGGUAAAGAAGCACCGGCUAACUACGUG